AGCACAGUCAGUGCGUGGGUGAGUCUUGCUGUUUUCUCUUUAAUGGAAACUCUUGCCGCUUGGGAGUUUUUGAGUUUUGAAUAAAGCAGCUUAUAACGUUCAGGAACGUGUGAAGGCGUUUUAGGCAUUCAUCGGGUUCGCCAUUGCUGCCUAUGUACUGAUGUUACACCAAAAUCCUGCAGUUCAAUUGUUCCAAAGUAGACAAGUUUAUGGAAGACAUAACCAACCUGUUCAACACUGUCUUGUAAAAGGAAUUUUUCUGAGUGUUGAUUGUGAUGAAGACAUAUUUGAGAUUGAGAAGAUAGAAAAUAGGCAAAAGUGCAGCUCCUUGUAAAUUCUUUGCAGCUAGGAAACAUAGAAUUUGCAGAACAUUGGAUGAAUCAUCCUAAAACAAAAUGUCACAACUCAGGACAUAGCAGAUAUUUGUAAGUGUCAGUUGUACUUCAUUUUAUGAGAGAUAAUAAUCAUGCAGAUACAUUCCUUAUGA